rnacentral:rRNA from 1 species
GACGAACGCUGGCGGCGUGCUUAACACAUGCAAGUCGAACGGUGAAGCGCCUUCCUUUUUGGUGGGUGUGGAUGAGUGGCGAACGGGUGAGUAACACGUGAGUAACCUGCCCCCUUCUUCUGGAUAACCGCAUGAAAGUGUGGCUAAUACGGGAUAUUCUGGGUCUGUCGCAUGAUGGGUCUGGGAAAGAUAUUGUUUCGGUGGGGGAUGGGCUCGCGGCCUAUCAGCUUGUUGGUGGGGUGAUGGCCUACCAAGGCGGUGACGGGUAGCCGGCCUGAGAGGGUGGACGGGCACACUGGGACUGAGACACGGCCCAGACUCCUACGGGAGGCAGCAGUGGGGAAUAUUGCACAAUGGGCGCAAGCCUGAUGCAGCGACGCCGCGUGAGGGAUGGGGGCCUUCGGGUUGUGAACCUCUUUCGCCAGUGAAGCAGGCCUGCCUCGUUUGUGGGUGGGUUGACGGUAGCUGGAGAAGAAGCGCCGGCUAACUACGUG